rfam:Paenibacillus wynnii strain DSM 18334 unitig_2, whole genome shotgun sequence.
ACGGAUGUGGAGAAGUUUGGCCGUUCUCGCCUGUCUUGGACACAGGAGAUCACAGGUUCAAAUCCUGUCAUUCGUA